rnacentral:lncRNA from 1 species
ACAAGCACUGCAAUGCAGCAACCAUUGACCUAACUAUGCUUCCUUCUCCAGGUCAUCUCAAGCAGACCCCUCACUCUGAAGCCCCCGGAUCCAAGCAGGAUGAGCUGCCAACUCAGCUUGCUCUGACUUGACUUGGCUCAUGAUCCGUGGAAGACAUCCCUACCUGACCCGUCGAUCAGCCCGAAACUUCAACAUCUUUUUGGCAGCUCCGUCCCCAGUUUGGCAGCCUCAGAGGACCCGCCGGCCACCCUGAUCCUACCAUGCCUCUGAGAAAGAUCCUUCAGAUCCUGUGGGCAUAAGGGUUAAAUGAAGCUCCCGAUUCAUCUGCUGUUAUUGCUGCCGCUGCUGAGAAGCUGAGAUUGAUUGAGCAGUUCUCCCUUCUCUUCGGUCAGCCUGCCCAGCCUUCUUCUGUGUGGACAGGAGCAUAAUGAAUGAAGGUCCUCUGCCCCUGUCCCUCCGACUUGCUCCCCUCAGACAGCACGGGGUUGCUUUCCCUCCCUGUGUGGCAGUCCUACCGAUGAGAAGCAAGUCGACCAGAUGGGCGUGGAUGCUGUGGAACCAGAGCUGGUGGCUAGGAUGGGGCUGCUCAGGCAAUAUUAAAGGAGAGCUUCCUCUCAA